rnacentral:misc_RNA from 1 species
GUUCGAGGUCGUUGUAGAAGUUUCUUGAUCGGUUGAGGAGCACUUUAAGAACGCUUAGUGCAGUAGCCAAAUACAUUUCAAAUUCUUCUGUGGUGUUGGAGAGGCCAUAGCUGAUACUUGGGUUCACAAAACAUGACAGAAAUAUUCAGUUACACUGCAUGCAGACAGUUGUCUCAGCUGAUACUUGCAAUCAUCUUCUUU